UCCUCGCCUAAUCCCCUUUGUUUUCAUCAAGCAUAUUCUUUCAUCGCCGGAAUCAAAUCCUACUCCUUCGGGCUAUUUCACCCCAAAAGGCAAAAAACAUAAAAAAGAUCCAAUACAUACCCAUUAGACUCGAGGAAAGGAUCAGCGCAAAACGGAAUAUUCAGUCCACCACCGCAGGCGGCCCAGGGGAAGGUGGUGGAUGGUAAGCGGCGCCGCUAGGUGACCGGCACGAUUCGCAUCUCGGGGAGUCCACUCCCAUUCAAUAACUUCAAAGGUAGCUGAGAGCUUGAAGUUGGUGAGGAUGAGAUCAAUUGUAAUUUCAUAAAGAGUGAAAGCAUUUGUUGCUUGGUAAUUUUUCUGCAUCUAUGAUACUUUCCAAUUUAGAAUCGGAUUACACGUACUCUAUUUGUUCCGUCAUGAGUUUGAUUUGAAGCAUUUUGUUAGACGUAGCCAUAGAUCAGUUGUGUCGUUUCAAGUAGAAUAUUGUGUUGUAGAAAUUGUGAUUAUGCAUUAGAUGGAUGAUCCCAGUAACAAUGGGAACUGUACACUUUAGUUGUAGAGAGAAACAGAAGGGCUCUUUAGUUAGAAA